rnacentral:rRNA from 1 species
UAGUCCACGCUGUAAACGAUGAUUACUAGAUGUUCGGACUUCGGUCUGAGUGUCCAAGCGAAAGCGAUAAGUAAUCCACCUGGGGAGUACGUUCGCAAGAAUGAAACUCAAAGGAAUUGACGGGGGCCCGCACAAGCGGUGGAGCAUGUGGUUUAAUUCGAUGAUACGCGAGGAACCUUACCUGGGCUACAAUGCCUCUGCUACACCCUGAAAGGGGUGGUUCCUUCGGGACAGAGUGCAAGGUGCUGCAUGGUUGUCGUCAGCUCGUGCCGUGAGGUGUUGGGUUAAGUCCCGCAACGAGCGUAACCCCUAUCGUUAGUUACCAUCAGGUCAUGCUGGGGACUCUAACGAGACUGCCUCCGCAAGGAGUGAGGAAGGCGGGGAUGACGUCAAAUCGUCAUGGCCUUUAUGCCUAGGGCUACACACGUGCUACAAUGGUGCAUACAGAGGGUAGCGAAGCAGCGAUGCGGAGCCAAUCUCAGAAAGUGCAUCCCG